rnacentral:lncRNA from 1 species
ACUUGAAUCAUUGUAAUUGAACAAGUUUACUAUUUAUCCUAGUGAAUUUAUUUAACUGAUAUAUUUGACUUUUAUUUAUUAAUUUUGAAAAUAUUUGAAUGUUGUUCAUCUCAAGGACUUGCAUGAUCUCUAGGGUGAAGCUCUAGGAUUCAUGUGGCCAUAUUAUGUAAUAGAACCAGGAGUUGAGUUCAGAGUAUGACAAAUUUUCUCCUCUAAGUCAUCAUAGAGGAAAGUAGUUUUCACAU